AUGGGCUGUGGAAAUUCCACUGCUGCCAGCACAACCCCAGGUCCAGCUGAGUCAGCCAAAGAUGUGCAAGAUGAUUCCUCCAUGGACGAAGAAAAGAGGAGGAACUACGGUGGAGUGUACGUGGGUAUCCCUGCAGACCUCACUAAUGAGACCGCCGGACAAACAGCCUCCACACACAAAGGU
ensembl:processed_transcript si:dkey-261e22.4 si:dkey-261e22.4